UUUGCAAGAACAUUACUAAUUUAUAGUUUCAAGACUGCUUGAUCUGGACAAUGUAUGGUUUUUGUGCUAUGUCGGUUAAUGUAGGUAGGAUUGGGUAGAUUAUAAGAAUGGAAAAUUGAUGACAGUGAAGCUUCAACAAGAGGUCUGAGGUUCACAUCAAAAGGACUAAAGAUGGAGUGCAAACUGCAAAGGUUUCCUCGGGCCGGAAGGAGAUUGGCCCUUGAGUGCAAAGGCAUAAGGGAGCUUCCACCCCAAGCACACGCAAUGGAGCUGUAGACAGUCAAGUGAAAUCCAAUCCAAGGUGGUCAUACAAAUUGACAGACGAUUUGGGAGAAGACAUCACAGGAGAGAUUUAAGUCGGAGACAAGACUGAUAUUUAUGUGCAGAAAUAGGAAAUUUAAUGGGUUGGGUUUGGCUGAUUUGCAGUGACGUGACAAAGCCAUUAGAACUUGCUCAUAAGUCCUUCUUACUUGGUGAAUCUAGAGAACGAUUUGGACUAAUCAAAAUAAGGAACUUUCUAAUUCUGGUUGAUGUUGUCAAAUUGCUUCUUUAUUGAACUACCAGAAAUAGUUAUUACAGAAUUGAACACUGUUACUACUUUGCUCUCUACAUAUACCUUGCUGAGCUUCAUCUAUAUACUUUUAUGGUUUAUAUAAGAAGAUUGUCUUUUCUAGCUCUCAAUAUGCUAUGAUAUCAUAGUUCAUUCUCUGAACUAGGGGAGGUUUCUAUAA